rnacentral:rRNA from 1 species
GAUGAACGCUGGCGGCGUGCCUAAUACAUGCAAGUCGAGCGAACAGACGAGGAGCUUGCUCCUCUGACGUUAGCGGCGGACGGGUGAGUAAAACGUGGAUAACCUACCUAUAAGACUGGGAUAACUUCGGGAAACCGGAGCUAAUACCGGAUAAUAUAUUGAACCGCAUGGUUCAAUAGUGAAAGACGGUUUUGCUGUCACUUAUAGAUGGAUCCGCGCCGCAUUAGCUAGUUGGUAAGGUAACGGCUUACCAAGGCGACGAUGCGUAGCCGACCUGAGAGGGUGAUCGGCCACACUGGAACUGAGACACGGUCCAGACUCCUACGGGAGGCAGCAGUAGGGAAUCUUCCGCAAUGGGCGAAAGCCUGACGGAGCAACGCCGCGUGAGUGAUGAAGGUCUUCGGAUCGUAAAACUCUGUUAGUAGGGAAGAACAAAUGUGUAAGUAACUAUGCACGUCUUGACGGUACCUAAUCAGAAAGCCACGGCUAACUACGUG